rnacentral:rRNA from 1 species
AUUGAACGCUGGCGGCAGGCCUAACACAUGCAAGUCGAGCGGAUGAAGGGAGCUUGCUCCUGUAUUCAGCGGCGGACGGGUGAGUAAUGCCUAGGAAUCUGCCUUGUCGUGGGGGAUAACGUCCGUAAACGGGCGCUAAUACCGCAUACGUCCUGAGUGAGAAAGUGGGGGAUCUUCGGACCUCACGCUAUCAGAUGAGCCUAGGUCGGAUUAGCUAGUUGGUGGGGUAAAGGCCUACCAAGGCGACGAUCCGUAACUGGUCUGAGAGGAUGAUCAGUCACACUGGAACUGAGACACGGUCCAGACUCCUACGGGAGGCAGCAGUGGGGAAUAUUGGACAAUGGGCGAAAGCCUGAUCCAGCAAUGCCGCGUGUGUGAAGAAGGUCUUCGGAUUGUAAAGCACUGUAAGUUGGGAGGAAGGGAAGUAAGUUAAUACCUUGCUGUUUUGACGUUACCAACAGAAUAAGCACCGGCUAACUUCGUG